AGGACGAACGCUGGCGGCGUGCUUAACACAUGCAAGUCGAGCGGUAAGGCCCUUUCGGGGGUACACGAGCGGCGAACGGGUGAGUAACACGUGAGCAAUCUGCCCUUCACUUCGGGAUAAGCCUCGGAAACGGGGUCUAAUACCGGAUAUGACCGCGCUACGCAUGUGGUGUGGUGGAAAGUUCUGGCGGUGGAGGAUGAGCUCGCGGCCUAUCAGCUUGUUGGUGGGUAAUGGCCUACCAAGGCUUCGACGGGUAGCCGGCCUGAGAGGGUGACCGGCCACACUGGGACUGAGACACGGCCCAGACUCCUACGGGAGGCAGCAGUGGGAAUAUGGACAAUGGGACGAAAGCUGAUCCAGCAACGCCGCGUGGAGGAUGACGGCCUUCGGGUUAGGUAACCUCUUUACUAGCGCCGACGAAGCGAGAGUGACGGUAGGACGCAGAAGAAGACGACGACCAACACGUCGACAGACAGCCGA
rnacentral:rRNA from 1 species